GUACCCUCAAGCUUUGCUUGGUGUUGGGCGGUUGUCCUUUCCUCUGCGUUGGGACUCGCCUUAAAGUCAUUGGCAGCCAGUGUAUUGGUUUGAAGCGCAGCACAAUUUGCGGCUCGAACUGAUAAUUGCUCGCGUCCAUCAAGUACAAUUAACAC
rnacentral:misc_RNA from 1 species